UUCCCUUUCUCAUCCUAUGCCUGGGAAUAUUGAUAAGGCAGGGAGGAUAAAGGAUCAC
rnacentral:pre_miRNA from 1 species